AGAGUUUGAUCCUGGCUCAGGAUGAACGCUGGCGGCGUGCCUAACACAUGCAAGUCGAACGGGAGUUGUUUUCGGACAACAAGAGUGGCGCACGGGUGAGUAACACGUAGCUAACCUGCCCCGAAGCUCGGGAUAACGUUCCGAAAGGAAUGCUAAUACCGGAUAAGCUCACGGACUGUAGAGGCCUGUGAGAAAAGGAGCAAUCCACUUUGGGAUGGGGCUGCGACCCAUCAGCUAGUUGGUGAGGUAACGGCUUACCAAGGCGACGACGGGUAGGGGACCUGAGAGGGUGACCCCCCACACUGGGACUGAGACACGGCCCAGACUCCUACGGGAGGCAGCAGUGAGGAAUAUUGCACAAUGGGCGCAAGCCUGAUGCAGCGACGCCGCGUGGGUGAAGAAGGUUUUCGGAUCGUAAAGCCCUUUUCUGUGUGACGAGACAAGGACGGUAGCACAGGAAUAAGUGUCGGCUAACUACGUGCCAGCAGCCGCGGUAAAACGUAGGACACAAGCGUUAUCCGGAGUUACUGGACGUAAAAGGCGUGCAGGCGGUUUCUUAAGUCAGGCGUGAAACCAUUCGGCUAAACCGGGUGUAGUCGUCUGAGACUGGGAGACUUGAGUGUGGUAGAGGCGUGUAGAAUUCCGGGUGUAGUGGUGAAAUGCGUAGAUAUCCGGAGGAAUACCAGUGGCGAAGGCGGCACGCCGGGCCAUAACUGACGCUAAGACGCGAAAGCAUGGGUAGCGAACGGGAUUAGAAACCCCGGUAGUCCAUGCCGUAAACGAUGUACACUGGGUGUUCAGACGGGGAAGCUCGUCGGGGUGCCUAAGCUAACGCGCUAAGUGUACCGCCUGGGGAGUACGGUCGCAAGGCUAAAACUCAAAGGAAUUGACGGGGGCCCGCACAAGCAGCGGAGCGUGUGGUUUAAUUCGAGGCUACACGAAGAACCUUACCCGGGUUUGACAUCAUGGUAGUAGUGAAGCGAAAGCGGAACGACCUUCGGGAGCCAUGACAGGUGCUGCAUGGCUGUCGUCAGCUCGUGUCGUGAGAUGUUCGGUUAAGUCCGAAAACGAGCGCAACCCCCGGGUCUAGUUACAAGUGUCUAGACCGACUGCCCGUGACAAACGGGAGGAAGGUGGGGAUGACGUCAAGUCAGCAUGGCCUUUAUAUCCAGGGCUACACACACGCUACAAUGGCCGGUACAAUAGGUAGCGAAGCGGCGACGCGGAGCCAAUCCACCAAAGCCGGUCGUAGUUCGGAUUGCAGGCUGCAACUCGCCUGCAUGAAGCUGGAGUUGCUAGUAACCGCAGGUCAGCUAUACUGCGGUGAAUACGUUCCCGGGCCUUGUACACACCGCCCGUCACGUCAUGGGAGCUGGUCACGCCUGAAGUCGGGAAGCCAACCGCAAGGAGGCUACCGCCGAGGGCAGGGCCGGUGACUGGGACGAAGUCGUAACAAGGUAGCUGUAGCGGAAGCUGCGGCUGGAUCACCUCCUU
rnacentral:rRNA from 1 species